GACAAGAUGACCGAGAUAUUAGGUAGAGGUUUGUAAAUCCUUUUAGGAAGAUGUUAAACUUCUCUUCGUCU
rnacentral:tRNA from 1 species